CUCCUGCUUCCUUAGCCCGGGGCACGAGGAAAAGGUGGAGCGGCAUGGAGGGGGCAGCUGGAGCCAGCACCGCUGGAUGCUGCUGGCAGCAGGCCAGAUGGAUUUGUGCCCAUGUCCUGCAGCUCGUCGUCUGCUGAACCCACUCACAUGACGGGCAGUUUUCCAGUGCUGACAGCAAUUUUUUACUGUGCUGGUGUACGUGGCAGACAGAAAUUCAGCCCCCUGCUAUUCCCUCGUGGCUUUCUUCACCUCUGAAGCAACUAAUUCCAGAUUAUUUUUUUUUUAAUUUUUUAAUACAGUGUGACAUACAUCCCUUGUA